rnacentral:rRNA from 2 species
UAAAACCAGCACCUCAAGUGGUCAGGAUGAUUAUUGGGCCUAAAGCAUCCGUAGCCGGCUCUGUAAGUUUUCGGUUAAAUCUGUACGCUUAACGUACAGGCCGCCGGGAAUACUGCAGAGCUAGGGAGUGGGAGAGGUAGACGGUACUCGGGAGGAAGUGGUAAAAUGCUUUGAUCUCUCGAUGACCACCUGUGGCGAAGGCGGUCUACCAGAACACGUCCGACGGUGAGGGAUGAAAGCUGGGGGAGCAAACCGGAUUAGAUACCCGGGUAGUCCCAGCUGUAAACUAUGCAAACUCAGUGAUGCAUUGGCUUGUGGCCAAUGCAGUGUUGCAGGGAAGCCGUUAAGUUUGCCGCCUGGGAAGUACGUACGCAAGUAUG